rnacentral:RNase_P_RNA from 1 species
UCAGAUGGUUGGAUGAUCGCUUUUUAAGAGAGGAAAGUCCGGGCUCCACGAGACACGGUGCCGGGUAACUCCCGGCGAGGGUGACCUUAGGGAAAGUGCCACAGAAAAUAAACCGCCUUUAUGGUAAGGGUGAAAAGGUGCGGUAAGAGCGCACCGCGUAUAUGGUAACAUGUAUGGCAGGGUAAACCCCACCGGGAGCAAGACCAAAUAGGAAUAACGCUGGUUAUACCAGGAAUUUCUCGUUCUAGUUAUUCGGGUAGGUUGCUAGAGAUAUGCGGUAACGUAUAUUCCAGAUGAAUGGUCAUCACCUUUAACAAGGACAGAACCCGGCUUAUAGACCAUCUGACAAU